rnacentral:lncRNA from 7 species
AUUUGAGUUAUAAAAAUGAGUCUGCUAUUGCUUUGUUUCCUCUUCUGAACCAUUCUAUGGAACUUAAGAUAAGUCCCUUUGCCUGUUUUGUUUUAUCAGCUUAGCAGGAAAAAAAAAUGAAGUCUGACCCUACUUUUGAAAGCGAGCUGCACCAAUGCCUUCAUUCCUAUUUCCUGUUAGCUUCAGUCAACAAACCUAUUGCUCUAACUGCUGUGUCGGCACAGCAGCCACUGAGCUUCUUCAGCACAUCUAUCUCCCGUUCCACAUGUGUUCUGACACCAUACCAAUGAAGUUCAGAGCCAUCUCAGGCUAACAUGUCUGUUCCAGUGGAGCGGUGACAAUUUCAGGACACUGUUCCAAGUGCAUUUUUUUCUGUUGUCAGUGCAGCUGUUUGCAUGGCUGUGAGAUAAACCAGACCAGGGAUUCCUUCCAUUGAAACACAGCCACUGGUUUGCCCGUGUAUCAAUUCUAUUUUACCAUACACCCAGAUGAAUUUGUGCACUCACAAGAAGAGGGCAACAGAGGUGUAGGAACAUGAGAAGUGUAUAUGAUGGAGAAGCUGCACCACCACUUCUGUUGCUGAAUUCCAACUGUGGCCUAAAAAAAUCCCAUUUCUGAAAGAAAAAGAAGUUGGUUUUGCUGUCACCACGGUUAGUUUGAAUUUAACAUAAAAGCAACAAAAAAGAAUUGCUCCGUUUUCAAGGCACCCUGCAAAUAAUGGGACAUGGUAACAACAACCUGCUGCUCAGGUUCUAUCUGCCAAGACUUUAUAGGAACUUUUAUCAGAGAAAAUUCUCCUAACUACAUGGCAUCUGAAUUUAAAAUGUAGAAUGUAUGACAACAAAGACAACAAAAACUAAAGAUGACAUUACCCUGGGAUUUUUAAAUAAGCACUUCAGAAACAACAACAAAGAUGAGUGUAAUGACUCGUACUGUGAUCUCCCCACAGCCUGCCCUGUAAUUCCUUUCUUGGUCUAUUUUUCAGCUCGAAAGACUGUUCUGUUUCUUUAGUUUAUUUUCAGCCAGGUUCUUGGUCAGCCUUGUGAAGGCACCUAAAAUACACGUUUCUGACUCACAAUUCUACUACAGUGCUUAAGCUGAUCAAGAACACCGAGUUGCUCCGAAGCACAGAAAAGCUCUGUAACUUCUCAUUACGCCUCGGAUGUGAGGUUUUUCUGUUUCUGUCGAGUAUUAUUUACCUACAUUGUUUGUUCAAAAUCAUCAGUACAAAUAGCAAUGAAACGUCUCUUAAAGCAGGCCUGGAGAAGACAAGAGUUUUAGCUCCCCAAGGCAGCACCAAGGUGUCCUAGCGGACUGCAAUGACGUUCCAGCCAGGUACUGAGGGCUCUACUUAUUGAUACCAAAAGGCAUUGUUUCUAAAUUCCCUGAAAAGGACAUUUUAAUCUCUCUCACAAGCAACAACAAUCAAGUUCUGUUUUUCAUCUCAGUGUAAUUCCAUCAGCAAUCGAAUCUGUCAAAAAUAGUAAGUUUAUGUAGGCUGCCAUAAAUGAAAUGGGAUCAGGUUAUGUAACAGGAGCAGCGAUCACCUGUUAGCUCGUGACAGUGAGUUAGCUCAGCAUGGUUGAAGUGUAACUACUAGGCUGCUCUGCGGAGUAGCUAAUUACUGAAUCGUACGAAUAAUUUAAGCAGAUGAAGGAAGAUAAC